rnacentral:rRNA from 1 species
UACGUAGGCAGCAAGCGUUGUUCGGAAUUACUGGGCGUAAAGAGUGUGUAGGCGGUGCUCUAAGUUUGGUGUGAAAUCUCCCGGCUCAACCGGGGGGCUGCAUCGAAUACUGGAAUGCUAGAGGGUGGGAGAGGUAAGCGGAAUUCCUGGUGUAGCGGUGAAAUGCGUAGAUAUCAGGAGGAACACCUGUGGUGUAGACAGCUUACUGGACCACUUCUGACGCUGAGACACGAAAGCGUGGGUAGCAAACAGG